ensembl:lncRNA
AGAGAGAGAGAGGGAGAGAAACAGGAAGAGACAGAGAGAGGGAGAGGGAGAGAAACAGGAAGAGACAGAGAGAGGGAGAGGGAGAGAAACAGGAAGAGACAGAGAGGGAGAGAAACAGGAAGAGACAGAGAGGGAGAGAAACAGGAAGAGACAGAGAGAGGGAGAGAAACAGGAAGAGACAGAGAGAGACGGAGAGAGAGAGAGCGACAGAGAGAGACAGAGAGAGGGAGAGGGAGAGAAACAGGAAGAGACGGAGAGGGAGAGAAACAGGAAGAGACAGAGAGAGACAGAGAGAGAGAGAGAGGGAGAGGGUGAGAAACAGGAAGAGACAGAGGGAGAGGGAGAGAGAGAGAAACAGGAAAAGACAGAGAGAGACCGAGAGAGACAGAGAGAGAGGGAGAGACAGAGAGAGACACAGACACAGAGAGAGGGAGGGAGAGGGAGAGAAACAGGAAGAGACAGAGAGAGAGAGAGAGAGCCAGAGAGAGAGACAGAGAGAGACACAGAGACACAGAGAGAGGGAGGGAGAGGGAGAGGGAGAGAAACAGGAAGAGAGAGAGAGACAGAGAGAGACAGAGAGAGACAGAGAGACAGAGAGAGAGAGAGAGAGAGAGAGAGAGAGAGAGAGAGAGAGACAGAGAGAGACAGAGAGAGACAGAGAGAGAGAGACAGAGAAAGACAGAGAGAGACAGAGAGAGAAAGAUGCGGGAUAACAGAGAGUCUUGAGGUAGUGUAGAGAAUAGAUCAGUACCUGGGCCAGGAUAGAACAUAGGUAGGUCGGAGAAGGUUCGUAUGGGAGAUAGGGAAGAGAAGUUUUGAGAGAGGUAGGAGAAUGUUUGUAUGGGAGAUCGGUAGGAGAAGGUUUGUAUGGCAGAUUAGUAGGAGAAGGUUUGUAUGGGAGAUAGGGAAGUGAAGGUUUGUAUGAGAGACAGGUAGAAGGAGGUUCGUACGAGAGACAGGUAGGAGGAGGUUUGUACGAGAGACAGGUAGGAGGAGGUUCGUACGAGAGACAGGUAGGAGGAGGUUCGUACGAGAGACAGGUAGGAGGAGAUUUGUACGGGAGACAGGUAGGGAGAGGUUUGUACGGGAGACAG